rnacentral:tRNA from 1 species
GAGGAUGUAACUCAGUGGUUAGAGUGCUUGCUUAGCAUGCAUGAUGCCCUGGGUUUGAACUCCAAUGCCUCA